AUGGAAGAGGAAAAAGCCCAACUUUCUCCACCUGCAAUCACCCAAAAAACAUAUAAAAUUUAGAUUAGUAAAAAGGGGAGAAAAAAGCGAAGAGAAAAUUAAAUACACAAAAAUAAAAUUCAGAAUGCCUAAGCAGCGACUUUUGGAUUACCAAUCGAAGAUAACAAUCACGAUGUCUGCAAAGCACCACAUGGAAACUAUUAACUGCCCAAUUUCCAAAUCGAAAGUAUCUAGGUUCUUAACCUUCCCCAUUGGAGAAAUUUACAAAUAACAAAAAAUCAUUCCACAGGGUAAAAAUAUUUAGGCAGAUAAAAGAUUUAGAAAUUUAUCUGAAAAAUAAAAAACCAUUGCACAGCAUAGCAAUAAUUAGGCAAAUAAAAGAUUAAAUAGUUUAAACCAAGUACUCCAACAUCCUAACUCAUUAGAUUUGGUUCCACCGCCGGCUUAACAUAAACUUUCGCAUUAUCAACUGAAUUUUAGAAAUAUCUAAUUCAACUUGCUCCAAUCGAUGAAGUGAAAAUUCACACUUUAAAAUUUCAAUUGUCCUAUUUCUCGUAACUACUGCAUCAAACUAUCCAACCGAAGCAAAACUUUCCAGUUUUCCACACCCAAUUUGAUGACAUCAACAAUUUGUAAUAAAAAAGGAACCGUCUAUAACUAAACAAAGACAACAAUAUACACAAUCCCACGUAGUACACUACUAAAUAACCCAUCUUUAUAUCUAGAAGCUAAUCUUCAAGAUCUAUCUCCCAGAAGAAAAUGCUUAGUUGGAAUGCUAUAAUUUUUACUCCAUUGCAGGGCUCGCUGGGAAGUUUAUGAUAGCAAAGCAGAGGAUACCAAUUAGCAAAGAUAAGUGGUAUUAAGCUAAAGUGACAUUAAAUAAGUCAUAAAUGCCCAAGAUAGCAAAUUUACAGGUAAUUUAGAGUAAAGGCCCCAAUCUUUUUUGGGACUGAGGCUAUUUAAAUCGAAAGUACAAGAAAAAUUCAAGAUCUACAGCUUGGGUUUUGAGUAAGAAAUUUGAGGCAUCUCUAAUUGGGCAAAUCAGUUGGGCUGGAGCAGCAAAUUUCUUUGACUUCAUAUAAGUCUAAGAUUUGGCAGCAUCUCCAGCACUAUUCUCAGUUUCCUGAUUUCAAUAAUUACCUCGCUUUCAUUUUCGCUCGUGCUCAGGUCUUCUAUUUUCUCUCCUCUUUCUGCCUCUCUUGCUUUCCUUAUAGUAUCUAUUUAUUUUGAGCACUCAAGCAACAUUUCUUAUUCUUCUUGUGGCAAUCUCGGCCAAAGAAAAAAUACCAAAAAUACCAGAAAAAAAUGAAGAAAUACCUGAAGCCAACAGCAUCAAACUAUUCUUUCCUUUUCUCCUCCUGAACGUUUGCUCUUCAAGAUGCAUGAAUCAGAUCAAGCUAGGCAAUAAGACAAGGAGACAAAACAUUAAUAAAUUUUUUAUUUCCCUUCUUAAAGUGCAACGAAGUUUUAUUGUUGAAAAAAAGGAAAAAACAGAACAGUUAUGGCAAGAAAGUAAGGAAACAAUUAUGCAUAAGGGGAGAAAAAGAGGAAAUAAAACUGAGAGAAAAAGUAAAACCCAUUCCUGUCCUUAAAGGGCAACGAAGAUUUCCUGCCAAAAAAAAAGGAACAAAACGGUUAUGG
rnacentral:lncRNA from 1 species